AUGGCCGCCGGAGAUGCCACCCACGCGCCGCCGGCCGCGGAGGCGCAGUCUCUGGUGGAGUCGUUCUGCGCCGUCACCUCGGCGACCCCCGACGAGGCGGCCUUCUUUCUCGAGGGCCACAACUGGGCCCUCGAGGCCGCCGUUCGCUCCUUCUACGACAACACGGAGGUCGACGCCGAUGGCCCCGAUCCGGCACCCCAGCCCCCGCCACCCGUCCCAGCCGCUGUCGAUGGCGCGGACUCCGAGGACGAGGACUACUUGGGCGUCGGCGACAAGGAUGAGGGCGACGAGGACUACGUGGGCGGCGGCGACGAGGACGACGACGAGGAUGCCGCCCUCGCCGCCGCGUCUGCGGCGGCAGAUGAGCGGAGGAGGAGGCCCGCGAAGAGGCAGAAGAGGAGCCACCAAGCGCGGGGCGGGAGCGGGGGUGCGAGUGGGAGGGGGACUGUGAGGACGCUCUCCGAUCUCGGAGGUGGCAAGGGGCGCGCGGGGUCGGACGAAGACGAGGACGACGACGACGACGAGUGGGCGCCACCCCCUGAGUUGUACACCGGCGGCGAGAGGAGUGGAAUGGUUGUUAGAGAUCGAUCCAAACGCAAAAAUGUUGCGGAUGAGGUUUUUAAGCAAGCUAAGAGGAAGGGAGCUAAGCAAGGCCCAGCUCGCCGGCAAUCUUCUAGUUCAAGGAGCUUUCCUGGGACUAGCAGACUUCUAACAGGUGAAACUGUACAGCCUGACACACCACAGCCACCAGAGGAAAUUGUUCACAACAUCUACUUCUGGAGUGAUGGGUUCACAGUAGACGACGGUCCACUCAGAAGUUUCAACGACCCAGAGCAUGCAGCCUUUUUAGAGAGCAUCAUGAAGUCUGAAUGCCCAACUGAGCUUGCGCCGGCUGAUGGGAUGUCUAAGGUGAACGUAAAUCUUAUCCGUAAAGAAGAAAAAUGUCCUGAGCCAGUCAAGCGCCCUGCCCCAUUUCAAGGAGGGGGGAGAAUUCUCGCGGCACCUUCUGAAAACUCUGCUCCUUCGGGUAUCUCUCUUGCGGCUGCUGCUUCUAGCACUGCGACCACUACCGCACCCAAGACUAUCACAGUGGACGAUUCUUUGCCGUCAACCUCUCUCCAGAUCAGGUUUGCCGACGGCAGCCGUGUGGUUGGGCGCUUCAACACAAGCCACACGAUCAGUGACGUGCGGGCGUUCAUCUACACAACAAGGCCAGGAGAAACAAGCGACUACACGUUGCAGGUCGGGUUCCCCCCUAAGCCGCUCGACGACGCGACCAAGACCAUCGAGGAAGCCGGCGUCGCCAACUCGGUGAUCAUCCAGAGAGUCUAA
rnacentral:rRNA from 1 species